UCUGUAAUACUUCCCCAUGUUCUCAAAUAAGCACCUUUGAAAUACAGUGGCACCAUCUCAUUUAUGAAGACAUUCAACUUUACAAGCUGUUGAGAGCCAUGCCAUCCAAUCGCCUGGAAGACCUCUUCUUGGACCACAAAUCACCUAACGUAGUAUCCCUCUUUGUUCUAAUAAAGAAUGGAAAAAUUAAAGCAAGCUACCGUGGUUUAUUACUCAUGUUUUCUCUGUUAAGCAUGGGCUGUGGGAAUCACUGCAUCCACAUUAGGAGGCCUUGGCAUUCUAGAAACACACAAGAUAAAAGAAAAGUGCUAUACCAUUUUUCUUCUCAAACCUUCCAUUGUAAUAAAAACGGAUUGUAAAUCAAAG
rnacentral:lncRNA from 1 species